rnacentral:rRNA from 1 species
UAGGGAAUCUUCGGCAAUGGGGGCAACCCUGACCGAGCAACGCCGCGUGAGUGAAGAAGGUUUUCGGAUCGUAAAGCUCUGUUGUAAGAGAAGAACGUGUGUGAGAGUGGAAAGUUCACACAGUGACGGUAACUUACCAGAAAGGGACGGCUAACUACGUGCCAGCAGCCGCGGUAAUACGUAGGUCCCGAGCGUUGUCCGGAUUUAUUGGGCGUAAAGCGAGCGCAGGCGGUUUAAUAAGUCUGAAGUUAAAGGCAGUGGCUUAACCAUUGUUCGCUUUGGAAACUGUUAAACUUGAGUGCAGAAGGGGAGAGUGGAAUUCCAUGUGUAGCGGUGAAAUGCGUAGAUAUAUGGAGGAACACCGGUGGCGGAAGCGGCUCUCUGGUCUGUAACUGACGCUGAGGCUCGAAAGCGUGGGGAGCAAACAGG